rnacentral:rRNA from 1 species
CCUACGGGGGGCAGCAGUGGGGAAUAUUGCACAAUGGGCGCAAGCCUGAUGCAGCCAUGCCGCGUGUAUGAAGAAGGCCUUCGGGUUGUAAAGUACUUUCAGCGAGGAGGAAGGUGUUGUGGUUAAUAACUGCAGCAAUUGACGUUACUCGCAGAAGAAGCACCGGCUAACUCCGUGCCAGCAGCCGCGGUAAUACGGAGGGUGCAAGCGUUAAUCGGAAUUACUGGGCGUAAAGCGCACGCAGGCGGUCUGUCAAGUCGGAUGUGAAAUCCCCGGGCUC